UACGUAGGGAGCAAGCGUUGUCCGGAAUCAUUGGGCGUAAAGAGCGUGUAGGCGGUCCGGUAAGUCCGCUGUGAAAGCCCGGGGCUCAACCCUGGGAGGCGGGUGGAUACUGUCGAGCUCGAGUCCGGAAGAGGCGAGUGGAAUUCCUGGUGUAGCGGUGAAAUGCGCAGAUAUCAGGAGGAACACCAAUGGCGAAGGCAGCUCGCUGGGACGGUACUGACGCUGAGACGCGAAAGCGUGGGGAGCAAACAGG
rnacentral:rRNA from 1 species